rnacentral:tRNA from 1 species
UGGCCAAAGGGGACUGACUGUAAAUCAGUUGGCAGAAGCCUUCGGAGGUUCGAAUCCUUCACCGCCCA